CAGUCCUGGAAAUUUGAAAACUGUGGUUGUCCAAUUCAGUUUUAAGAAAAGAAAGUUCGCGGAUUUCAGAAGUUCCGCAUAACGACUGCUGAGAUUCUAAACUGCCUUUGGUCAGAUGAGGAAACCAAGGCAAAAGAAAACUCAGCUCUCCUCCCAGCCAGAGUGGGGAACCUGCUCUCACCCGUGGGGGGCCGGUGUGUUCCAGUGUCCCUGCUUCCCGAGAAGGACGCCUGGAGCCCUGCCGGACAGUCAGCACACUUCGGAACUCAGAGGCAGCAAAGGGAGCAGUUAAGGACAGACGGACAAAUGCUCGAGAGAAAAUAAGACGCAAGUUUUCCAUCCGCGGUACGAGCAGACGAGGGCUGCCUAGGGCCAGAGGGACAGAAGAGGAACCUCUCACUAAGGACUUACCAGCCCGGCAGCACAGGCAGGAAGUGCUGCCUCCAGCAGCGUGAGCGCAGAGGAUGAGCAGAGGCCUGGUCACGUGACCAGGCUCGGAAAGAGCGUUGGGGGAGGGGCGCCAGAAAUGAACAACACGGAGAAGGAACGGAAAGGCGGUGCGUGAGGGUAAGCCGAGGCGGGGCUCUGCAGGCUGCAGCGGAGCUGGCGUCCUCCUCCCUCCCCCGCCGCAGCCAGAGAGCAGCAGCUGUUGCGAUCCAGCUGCCAUUUUUCAAACCAAUUAAGGAGCCCUGUUACUGCCCCCGGGAGGGAGUGUGUCUGUGUCUUCUGAGUCAGCAGCUCGGACCGGGGCCUCUGGGGACAAGCUCGCAAGGCCCUAAUCGUCCCCUCAGAGUUAAAAAUAACAAGUAGCAAGCCACUACUCUUGACUUUACACUGCCGCAGGGGGCGGAGGUCGGGGGUGUCUCUUGCCACAGAGGUUUACCAUCCGAGGCGCCAGAGAGCGGCAGCCCGCCGGCAGCACGUUUUUCUUCCCAUUCGCGCUCUCCUGCUUCAGGUCCCCGUCCUGAAGUCAUCCAUCAGCUGUCCCACUUGCCAGAACCUUCAUCACAGCCCCCGGAGACCUUACCUCUGCUUUGCUCGACCACCUGAUAGCCAGUCCACAGGGUCCGCCCGCCCCACCUCCUCUCCUCUCUGUCUGCUUACUCCAUCAACUCAGCCUUUCUGGAUUCUGGGCCUUUGGCCACGAAACAACCCAGGUGGCUACAACCAGAGCCAACAUGGGGGCAGCUCCAAACCCUGAAGGUCUGAGAAGGCGGGAAGUGUCCCUGGCUUGUUGUCAUGGAAACCACAAUAGAGGCUUGCCUCCUGACCAACCCUGGUGCUUCCCCGUGUGCCCCCCCCCAUGGCAUGGCACGCCCCCUCCUCUCAGGAGCUGUGAUUAUAAAAUAUCUUUUUAAUAGC